rnacentral:rRNA from 1 species
GACGAACGCUGGCGGCGUGCUUAACACAUGCAAGUCGACGACGCUACUGAGGAGCAAUAUUUAGUAGUGGAGUGGCGCAAGGGUGAGUAAUGUAUACGUAACCAACCCAUCGGAGACGGAUAACAUUUCGAAAGGGAUGCUAAAACGGCAUGAAGCCACUAUUUCGCAUGAGAUUGUGGUUAAAGAACCGGUAACAGGUUGCCGAUGGCUGGUCGUAUAUCCGAUUAGCUAGUUGGUAGUGUAAUGGACUACCAAGGCGACGAUCGGUAGCUGGUCUGCGGGGCUGAUCCGCGCCACCGGCACCGCGACCCAGGCCACACUCCUACGGGGGGGAGCAGUAGGGAAUAUUGGGCAAUGCCCGCAAGGGUGACCCAGCCACGCCGCGUGGAGGAUGAAGGCCGUAAGGUUGUAAACUCUGACAAGAAGAGAAGAACGGCUAUGGUAAAAGGCCAUAGUAUCACUGUCCCUGCAUGAAGCCCCGGCUAACUACGUG